rnacentral:rRNA from 1 species
UACGAAGGGGGCUAGCGGUGUUCGGAAUUACUGGGCGUAAAGCGUAUGCAGGCGGAUCGUUAAGUCGGGGGUGAAAUCCCGAGGCUCAACCUCGGAACUGCCUUCGAUACUGGCGAUCUUGAGUCCGGGAGAGGUGAGUGGAACUCCGAGUGUAGAGGUGAAAUUCGUAGAUAUUCGGAAGAACACCAGUGGCGAAGGCGGCUCACUGGCCCGGUACUGACGCUGAGAUACGAAAGCGUGGGGAGCAAACAGG